GGGGGAUAUUGCGCAAUGGGGGGAACCCUGACGCAGCAACGCCGCGUGAAGGAAGAAGGUCUUCGGAUUGUAAACUUCUUUGAUGAGGGACGAAAUAAAUGACGGUACCUCAAAAACAAGCCACGGCUAACUACGUGCCAGCAGCCGCGGUAAUACGUAGGUGGCGAGCGUUGUCCGGAAUUACUGGGUGUAAAGGGCGUGUAGGCGGGGAUGCAAGUCAGAUGUGAAAUACCGAGGCUUAACCUCGGGGGUGCAUCUGAAACUGUGUUUCUUGAGUGUCGGAGAGGAAAGUGGAAUUCCCAGUGUAGCGGUGAAAUGCGUAGAUAUUGGGAGGAACACCAGUGGCGAAGGCGACUUUCUGGACGACAACUGACGCUGAGGCGCGAAAGCGUGGGGAGCAAA
rnacentral:rRNA from 1 species